GACGAACGCUGGCGGCGUGCUUAACACAUGCAAGUCGAACGGUAAGGCCCUUUCGGGGGUACACGAGUGGCGAACGGGUGAGUAACACGUGGGUGAUCUGCCCUGCACUUUGGGAUAAGCCUGGGAAACUGGGUCUAAUACCGGAUAGGACUACGCGAUGCAUGUCGUGUGGUGGAAAGCUUUUGCGGUGUGGGAUGGGCCCGCGGCCUAUCAGCUUGUUGGUGGGGUGAUGGCCUACCAAGGCGACGACGGGUAGCCGGCCUGAGAGGGUGUCCGGCCAAACUGGGAAUGGGAUACGGCCCAGAAUCCUACGGGAGGCAGCAGGGGGGAAUAUUGCAAAAAGGGCGCAAGCCUGAUGCAGCGACGCCGCGUGGGGGAUGACGGCCUUCGGGUUGUAAACCCCUUUCAGCACAGACGAAGCGUAAGUGACGGUAUGUGCAGAAGAAGCACCGGCCAACUACGUG
rnacentral:rRNA from 1 species